rnacentral:rRNA from 1 species
UACGUAGGGGGCGAGCGUUGUCCGGAAUCAUUGGGCGUAAAGCGCGUGUAGGCGGCCCGGUAAGUCCGCUGUGAAAGUCCAGGGCUCAACCCUGGGAUGCCGGUGGAUACUGUCGGGCUCGAGUCCGGAAGAGGCGAGUGGAAUUCCUGGUGUAGCGGUGAAAUGCGCAGAUAUCAGGAAGAACACCCGUGGCGAAGGCGGGUCUCUGGGCAGUGAACUGACGCUGAGGAGCGAAAGCGUGGGGAGCGAACAGG